GAUGGAUGAAUGGGUAUCAUGAGCCAAUACUGGGAAUACACUCUGUAAAAACGAAGACCCUGUCAUUAGGUUUCGUAUGACCCGAUUAUGGCGAUGGCUAUGGAGCUGCCGCCUUUCGGUCAGAUUCAAACCUGUGGACCAUGGAAUUUGUUGGAGAACCUGGGGUUUGGAGGAUUUGCACAUGUGUACUUGUUUCAAAACAUGGAAACGCAGAGGAGAAGAUCG